AGCUCAGCUUCUUGUGAUCUCAUCUUCUUGUAGCGAUUGUCCCACCAACACCCCCAUGCCAGACCCCACGUGCCAUCUGGAAAUAGCAUACUCAAUUAACAGCGAGUACUUGCAGUAGCGUGCCAAAUCUCAACGUUUCCAUAAAAGCCAGCAGCACGGACACAUUUUAACACAUCAGAACAAGGUAAAAGAGAGAAGCCCCUUUGUCUGGUGAGGUGCAGGCACAUCACCCUGCAG